rnacentral:rRNA from 1 species
UCGAACGAUGAAGCCCUUCGGGGUGGAUUAGUGGCGAACGGGUGAGUAACACGUGGGCAAUCUGCCCUUCACUCUGGGACAAGCCCUGGAAACGGGGUCUAAUACCGGAUAGCACUCUUGCAGGCAUCUGUGAGGGUUGAAAGCUCCGGCGGUGAAGGAUGAGCCCGCGGCCUAUCAGCUUGUUGGUGAGGUAAUGGCUCACCAAGGCGACGACGGGUAGCCGGCCUGAGAGGGCGACCGGCCACACUGGGACUGAGACACGGCCCAGACUCCUACGGGAGGCAGCAGUGGGGAAUAUUGCACAAUGGGCGAAAGCCUGAUGCAGCGACGCCGCGUGAGGGAUGACGGCCUUCGGGUUGUAAACCUCUUUCAGCAGGGAAGAAGCGAAAGUGACGGUACCUGCAGAAGAAGCGCCGGCUAACUACGUGCCAGCAGCCGCGGUAAUACGUAGGGCGCAAGCGUUGUCCGGAAUUAUUGGGCGUAAAGAGCUCGUAGGCGGCUUGUCACGUCGGGUGUGAAAGACCGGGGCUUAACCCCGGUUCUGCAUUCGAUACGGGCUAGCUAGAGUGUGGUAGGGGAGAUCGGAAUUCCUGGUGUAGCGGUGAAAUGCGCAGAUAUCAGGAGGAACACCGGUGGCGAAGGCGGAUCUCUGGGCCAUUACUGACGCUGAGGAGCGAAAGCGUGGGGAGCGAACAGGAUU